AUUGAACGCUGGCGGAAUGCUUUACACAUGCAAGUCGAACGGCAGCGUAGGUGCUUGCACCUGAUGGCGAGUGGCGAACGGGUGAGUAAUACAUCGGAACGUGCCCAGUCGUGGGGGAUAACGUAGCGAAAGUUACGCUAAUAACGCAUACGAUCUAAGGAUGUAAGAGGGGGACAGUAAGGCCUCGCGCGAUUGGCGCGGCCGAAGUCAGAUUAGGUAGUUGGUGAGGUAAAGGCUCACCAAGCCGACGAUCUGUAGCUGGUCUGAGAGGACGACCAGCCACACUGGGACUGAGACACGGCCCAGACUCCUACGGGAGGCAGCAGUGGGGAAUUUUGGACAAUGGACGCAAGUCUGAUCCAGCCAUUCCGCGUGCAGGACGAAGGCCUUCGGGUUGUAAACUGCUUUUGUACGGAACGAAAAAGCUCUUACUAAUACUAGGAGUCCAUGACGGUACCGUAAGAAUAAGCACCGGCUAACUACGUGCCAGCAGCCGCAGUAA
rnacentral:rRNA from 1 species